rnacentral:tRNA from 1 species
CAAAGAGUAGCUUAAAAUAAAGCAUCUUGCUUACACCAAGAAAAUACUAGUUCAAACCUAAUCUCUUUGA